rnacentral:rRNA from 1 species
GACGAACGCUGGCGGCGUGCUUAACACAUGCAAGUCGAACGGAAAGGCCCCUUUGGGGGUACUCGAGUGGCGAACGGGUGAGUAACACGUGAGUAACCUGCCCUUGACUUCGGGAUAACUUCAGGAAACUGGGGCUAAUACCGGAUAGGAAUCCUUGCUGCAUGGUGGGGGUUGGAAAGCUUCGGCGGUUUUGGAUGGACUCGCGGCUUAUCGGCUUGUUGGUGGGGUAGUGGCUUACCAAGGCUUUGACGGGUAGCCGGCCUGAGAGGGCGACCGGCCACAUUGGGACUGAGAGACGGCCCAGACUCCUACGGGAGGCAGCAGGGGGGAAUAUUGCACAAUGGGCGGAAGCCUGAUGCAGCAACGCCGCGUGCGGGAUGACGGCCUUCGGGUUGUAAACCGCUUUCAGCAGGGGCGAAGCUUGUGGUGACGGUACCUGCAGAAGAAGCACCGGCUAACUACGUG